GAGAAUGAAGGCCACUCCGAAGAUGACAAGAUCCCAGAAUUCUAGAGCCCAAAGGAGACAUCGUAGGAAUCACGUUGCCCAACAGUCAAGAUGCCACGUCUCAGGACAGUGGGCUCUGAAGAUGGAGACUGACUUCAAGGACUAAUGUCAUUCCUGUUCCCUGUCAUUGAAGGGUGCACAUGUAUCUCUGCUUUAUGCCCUG
rnacentral:lncRNA from 1 species